rnacentral:rRNA from 1 species
AUGCCGAGGACGCGGGCGAUGUGCUGCCUCAUGCCGUCGAAGCCCUCCGGCGAUGCGCGCCGCCGCAGCAGCGCGGCGUGCAUUUGCUGCAUCGGCCCCCACCACCGCCCGUCCGGGGGCGGCGCCCUCGCCCCCGUCGACGCGGACAACAGCAGCGUGCGGACGCCGCUCACCAGCUGCUGCGGCGCCGGGGACGCCGUCCGCACGCCGCGCACCCCCAAGACGCCCUCCGCCAGGCGCCUCUGCGGCGUCCGCUCCCGCACCCCGCGCCGCGCGCAGCAGGUCCGCCGCUUCACUCCGGCACCAGCGCCGGCGCCCGCGGCACCUGCUGCUCCAGCGCGAGCGGCGGCGCCGGCUGCUCCCGCGAGGACUCCUGUGGCAGCUGCUGCAUCGGCUGGAGCGGCGCUGGCUGUUCCUCCGGUGAAGACUCCCGUAUCAGCUGCUGCGUCAGCUGGAGUGCCGCUGGUUGCUCCUCCUCCUGCGAGGACUCCCGUGGCAGCUGCUCCGUCGGCUGGAGCGGCGCUGGUUGCUCCUCCUCCUGCGAGGACUCCCGUGGCAGCUGCUGCUGCUUCGGCUGGAGCGGCGCUGGCUCCUCCUCCUGCGAGGACGCCGCGAACGCCUUCGACGCCGAUCGGGCGGACCCAGCGCGUGUGCUGCGUGACCACCGCGGCGCCAGCGCAGGCCGGCAACGCGAAGUCCAAGUCGGGCACCGCGCGGCGCCGCUGGCUCAGCUCCGCCAGCAAGGCGGUGGCGCAGACGCGCGGCGCGGUCUCCGGCAACGUUCGCGACAGCGGCACCAACCCGCGUGCCAACGGCCACGUCGCCAAGGCGGUCCACAGGGCGGCGCCGCUCGCGCAGGCCGUGGAGCCGCCAGCGCCGGCGAAGGAGGACGAGUCGGUCUGCUCCGACGAGGAGUACGCGAUGCUGUGCCGGGAGGGCUUCUCACGGGAGGACGUCGCCGCCGUCACCAUCCAGGCCUACUUCCGCGCGCACCUGGCGCGGCGGGCGUUCAAGGCGCUGAGGAGCCUGGUGAGGCUGCAGGCGGUGGCGCGGGGCGCGUACGUGCGGCGGCAGGCGGAGGUGGCGGUGCACUGCAUGCAGGCCAUGGCGCGGCUGCAGGCGCGCGUGCGCUCCAGGCAGGCGCUCGCCAAGCCCAAGGACAACGACGACAAGCUCCUGCUGCUGCAGAACUGA